GGCGGUAUGGCUCAGGAGGUAGAGCGGGUGGUCUAGGAAUCAGCAGGUUCCUGGUUUGAUCCCCGGCUUCCCCA